rnacentral:rRNA from 1 species
UACGUAGGGUGCGAGCGUUGUCCGGAAUUAUUGGGCGUAAAGAGCUUGUAGGCGGUCUGUCGCGUCUGCUGUGAAAAUCCGGGGCUCAACCCCGGACCUGCAUCCGAUACUGCGUGACUAGAGGUAGGUAGGGGAGAUCGGAAUUCCUGGUGUAGCGGUGAAAUGCGCAGAUAUCAGGAGGAACACCAGUGGCGAAGGCGGAUCUCUGGGACGGUACUGACGCUGAGAACGCGAAAGCGUGGGGAGCGAACAGG